GACGAACGCUGGCGGCGUGCUUAACACAUGCAAGUCGAACGGAAAGGCCCUGCUUUUGUGGGGUGCUCGAGUGGCGAACGGGUGAGUAACACGUGAGUAACCUGCCCUUGACUUUGGGAUAACUUCAGGAAACUGGGGCUAAUACCGGAUAGGAGCUCCUGCUGCAUGGUGGGGGUUGGAAAGUUUCGGCGGUUGGGGAUGGACUCGCGGCUUAUCAGCUUGUUGGUGGGGUAGUGGAUUACCAAGGCUUUGACGGGUAGCCGGCCUGAGAGGGUGACCGGCCACAUUGGGACUGAGAUACGGCCCAGAAUCCUACGGGAGGCAGCAGUGGGGAAUAUUGCACAAUGGGCGGAAGCCUGAUGCAGCAACGCCGCGUGCGGGAUGACGGCCUUCGGGUUGUAAACCGCUUUCGCCUGUGACGAAGAGUGAGUGACGGUAAUGGGUAAAGAAGCACCGGCUAACUACGUG
rnacentral:rRNA from 1 species